rnacentral:rRNA from 1 species
UGCCCAGUGACUGAUUUUAACGGCCGCAGUACACUGACUGUGCUAAGGUAGCAUAAUAAUUUGUCUUUUAAUUGAAGACUGGCAUGAAUGGAAUUAUGGGUAAGCACUGUCUUAAAUAUAACUUAAUAAAAUUUAAUCAGAAGGUGAAAAAACCUUUAGUUUGUAGGUUAGACGAGAAGACCCUAAGAAUUAGGAAGAAAAUCCUAUAUAUAGGAUUUAUUUUUUGUUGGGGCAACAGAGUUAGAAGAUAAAACUGACUUUUUAAAAAAUAUUACUUUACUAACAUAAUUUUAAGAAAAGAAUUUAAUUACCUUAGGGAUAACAGCAUUAUUCAUUUAUGAGAAUAUGACCUCGAUGUUGGACUAGGAUAGCUCUUAAUUAGACAUUAAGGGUCAAGGUUCUGUUCGA